UGCUCUGGCUGAAGGCAAAGAUCCUCCAGCUUUAAGUGGAAGUUCUGAUAUCCGAGCUAUGAACAUGGAGGAUUUCAGAUACGCACAUGAACGGGUGGGUUCGAGCGUUUCAUCAGAGUCUGUGAACACGACAGAGCUUCAACAAUGGAACGAACUCAACGGGGAAGGUGGAUCCAGAAGGCAGCAAUCACUCAGCUACUACAUGUAGCCUCCCUAGGAUUGAAUCUACGUUAGAAAACCAUAGCUCAAUUUUCGUCUCAAAAAAAAGAAUGUACAAUUUUCAAUUUUUCAGGGUGAACAGAAUAAUACAAUAAGUGAAAGUGGUUGAAUUAGAUUUGUUUUGAA